rnacentral:rRNA from 1 species
AUUGAACGCUGGCGGCAGGCCUAACACAUGCAAGUCGAGCGGAUGAAGGGAGCUUGCUCCUGGAUUCAGCGGCGGACGGGUGAGUAAUGCCUAGGAAUCUGCCUGGUAGUGGGGGAUAACGUCCGGAAACGGGCGCUAAUACCGCAUACGUCCUGAGGGAGAAAGUGGGGGAUCUUCGGACCUCACGCUAUCAGAUGAGCCUAGGUCGGAUUAGCUAGUUGGUGGGGUAAAGGCCUACCAAGGCGACGAUCCGUAACUGGUCUGAGAGGAUGAUCAGUCACACUGGAACUGAGACACGGUCCAGACUCCUACGGGAGGCCGCAGUGGGGAAUAUUGGACAGUGGGCGAAAGCCUGAUCCAGCCAUGCCGCGUGUGUGAAGAAGGUCUUCGGAUUGUAAAGCACUUUAAGUUGGGAGGAAGGGCAGUAAGUUAAUACCUUGCUGUUUUGACGUUACCAACAGAAUAAGCACCGGCUAACUUCGUG